UACGUAGGGGGCAAGCGUUGUCCGGAUUUAUUGGGCGUAAAGAGCGUGUAGGCGGCCAGAUAGGUCAGCUGUGAAAACUCGAGGCUCAACCUCGAGAUGUCGGCUGAAACCAUCUGGCUAGAGUCCGGAAGAGGAGAAUGGAAUUCCCGGUGUAGCGGUGAAAUGCGCAGAUAUCAGGAAGAACACCCGUGGCGAAGGCGGCUUUCUGGGACGGUACUGACGCUGAGACGCGAAAGCGUGGGGAGCGAACAGG
rnacentral:rRNA from 1 species